GGAAAAAAAACAAGUCAGGGCAUCUAAAAAUCAACCACAGCUGGCGCACCUGAAAAGGGAAGCGUGGGAGGGAGAAAACUUAAAAUGUGUGGCAAUGUUCGCAUCAGUGGAUAACAAGAAUUGAAGAAAGAGCACGCAACUUUUGUUUACUCCUACGAUCAUCUUCACAAAGACAAAACAUGUACUUUAAUAGAACAGAAAGAGUAUUUCUGCAGAUUUUACUUCUUAUUGCGUUCAUCUCCAUAAUUUCAGAAUGCAAGGGUUUGACUUUUAAACCUGCUAAGGAAACCACCAUCAGGAUCAUCAACUCUAAGAACAUGGAUUGCAAAAUGUGCAAAAAUUCAGCUAAACCUUCCCAACAACAAUGUAAAGACUCCAUAACAUUUGAUAUAAACAUCAAAGUGGAGAUCGAGAUUAAAUGCAAGAAAUCUCAAGAUCUACCGACACUGGAAAUCAAGCGCAAUAUAGCAUGUAGCCAGACAUCAUGUGACACGGUCUCCCAGGUUUAUAAAGAAUUCUCAGGUUUAGAGAAAUACCGUCGCAGGUUUACCUGGAAUAUUAGUUCUUCAUCAACAAACUCCUUAUCGAUCAGUUUUGAGGGAGGUCUCCAACAGAUUGGUAUGGAAAAACAUGUCCUGAUAAACACACCUUCACUCUCCAAGACAAAGGAGCUACGCUGGAGAAAUACUGUUCCAAAGGGCCCAACACGGUUCCAAUCAGGAAAAAUCAGAGCUUCUCUCUGGAGCUCCCAGCAGGCCAGAGACUAAAUAAUUUCUCCUUUGAGGUCUCUCUGCAGAAGAAAUCUGAAAGCAAACCUCUUGUGAUCCCAAUACUUUGUGCUCUGGUCGGUCUACUCAUCAUUUUCAUCAUUUUGCUGCUGAUGGUUUACAUAAGGCUUAAGAAGAAUAAUAGAGAAGCUGUUCCAGAAGUGUCAGUCUACAAUUCAGGUAACGACCACGUCCAGCCAGCACCCAACAGGCUACCAGUAGGCUCUGAGGAGGAUGAACAUUUGUAUUCCAUGAUCGAUGAGUCACUAAUCUACUCACACCUCCUGAAACGGCAAGGAAACGGUUUUUAUGAUGAGUAUGAAACUUUCCAGUCUGUUGCCACUGACUGCAGAAGGCCAACAAUCCAUGUGAAAGCUGGUGAUGAAGGCACCGUGUCAAUCUUCCAAAAUCAACAAGGUCCUCCACCUCCUAACAGACCUCCGAGUUACCUGGAGCUGCUGGGGGACCGUCCUCCGACUCCUGGAACACAUUUAAAGCCCAAGGAAGCCGAGUGAACACAUGAUUUGGUUCAGUUUCCAGUUGGACUUUGACAUUUCCCUGACAUGCCUGUCAGUCUUUUUGAGCUUUCUGCUCC